rnacentral:rRNA from 1 species
AUGUCAUCAGACUAUGUGAAAACAAGUGGUGCAAGUUAUGAGUUCAGGUGCAGAUCUUUCAGGGGGAGAUGGUGCUGGCGAGUGGCUGGAACUACUGCUGCAACAAGCACAAGAUCGUCCCUAACGACCUGCUCAUCCUCAAGCUAUCGUGUCUCGGCUUCAAGGUGGAGAUCUACAGCGUCGGCACUUCCAUCAUUUGUUGGCUCAGGUGCACCAAGCACUACUAUCAAGGUGACCCAACUCGUACACUUGCUCCUGUCUGGACUGUUAUUAUUUUUUUGCUGUAAACUGUAUAUUUUACCCAGAGAUCAGCACCCUAGGGGCACCCCAUGCCCUGUUGUCAUAAAACAGAUGUAA